rnacentral:rRNA from 1 species
AUGAAAAUCUGGAAGCACAUAAGCACAGAGCUACAGCUUUUAGAAAAAACCAUCGAUCAUUUCAAAAAGGUCAAACUGCAGGUGCCACUUCAUGGAGAAGACACAAUGGACUGCGCAUUCUAUAUGUUCAUGAACCUGAAGCACUACUCCAAUGAUGGAACAGCAGCAACCUUAAAGCCAGAACAAGUACCAGAGUUGAGGAAAAAAAUUCUAUAUCAACUAAUUAGUCAACACAGAGGGAAUACCAAACUGUCACUAAUCAAGUGUACAACAAAUAUGCUGAAGUAUGAAGUAGAUAUGGAAGACAAAGAAAUGCAACAGGAAGAAUGUUGUGUACUAGAAGAGUUUCCGCCAACUCCUGACCCAAAAGAACAUAUUAUGCGUGCGACAACCACACAAGAGAAUGAAGUUAUUGAUAUAUCCAGUAAACGCAAAGAGAUUAUGGAUGUCAGCAGCCACGCCGUCGCCCAAGAAUCUUGCACUGACCACGAACAAAAUGAUCCACCAAUAGAACCAGAUCAACCACCACCAGACGACAAGAUACCACACCAUGCUGAAUAG